AGACCUUGCCGGAAGGCUACCAUGCAAGUCGAGCGGUAACAGGGGUAGCUUGCUACCCGCUGACGAGCGGCGGACGGGUGAGUAAUGCAUAGGAAUCUGCCCGAUAGUGGGGGAUAACCUGGGGAAACCCAGGCUAAUACCGCAUACGUCCUACGGGAGAAAGGGGGCUCCGGCUCCCGCUAUUGGAUGAGCCUAUGUCGGAUUAGCUAGUUGGUAAGGUAAUGGCUUACCAAGGCAACGAUCCGUAGCUGGUCUGAGAGGAUGAUCAGCCACAUCGGGACUGAGACACGGCCCGAACUCCUACGGGAGGCAGCAGUGGGGAAUAUUGGACAAUGGGGGCAACCCUGAUCCAGCCAUGCCGCGUGUGUGAAGAAGGCCCUCGGGUUGUAAAGCACUUUCAGCGAGGAAGAACGCCUAUCGGUUAAUACCCGGUAGGAAAGACAUCACUCGCAGAAGAAGCACCGGCUAACUCCGUGCCAGCAGCCGCGGUAAUACGGAGGGUGCAAGCGUUAAUCGGAAUUACUGGGCGUAAAGCGCGCGUAGGUGGCUUGAUAAGCCGGUUGUGAAAGCCCCGGGCUCAACCUGGGAACGGCAUCCGGAACUGUCAGGCUAGAGUGCAGGAGAGGAAGGUAGAAUUCCCGGUGUAGCGGUGAAAUGCGUAGAGAUCGGGAGGAAUACCAGUGGCGAAGGCGGCCUUCUGGACUGACACUGACACUGAGGUGCGAAAGCGUGGGUAGCAAACAGGAUUAGAUACCCUGGUAGUCCACGCCGUAAACGAUGUCGACCAGCCGUUGGGUGCCUAGAGCACUUUGUGGCGAAGUUAACGCGAUAAGUCGACCGCCUGGGGAGUACGGCCGCAAGGUUAAAACUCAAAUGAAUUGACGGGGGCCCGCACAAGCGGUGGAGCAUGUGGUUUAAUUCGAUGCAACGCGAAGAACCUUACCUACCCUUGACAUCUACAGAAGCCGGAAGAAAUUCUGGUGUGCCUUCGGGAACUGU
rnacentral:rRNA from 1 species